CCUACGGGUGGCUGCAGUGGGGAAUAUUGCACAAUGGGCGCAAGCCUGAUGCAGCCAUGCCGCGUGUGUGAGGAAGGCCUUCGGGUUGUAAAGCACUUUCAGCGGGGAGGAAGGCGUUAAGGUUAAUAACCUUGGCGAUUGACGUUACCCGCAGGAGAAGCACCGGCUAACUCCGUGCCAGCAGCCGCGGUAAUACGGAGGGUGCAAGCGUUAAUCGGAAUUACUGGGCGUAAAGCGCACGCAGGCGGUCUGUCAAGUCGGAUGUGAAAUCCCCGGGCUCAACCUGGGAACUGCAUUCGAAACUGGCAGGCUAGAGUCUUGUAGAGGGGGGUAGAAUUCCAGGUGUAGCGGUGAAAUGCGUAGAGAUCUGGAGGAAUACCGGUGGCGAAGGCGGCCCCCUGGACAAAGACUGACGCUCAGGUGCGAAAGCGUGGGGAGCAAACAGGAUUAGAUACCCGAGUAGUC
rnacentral:rRNA from 1 species